rnacentral:rRNA from 1 species
GAACCUGUGGCUGGAUCACCU